AUGCGUGGUUGACAAGGUGGUCUUCAUCCCGAGGUGGUCUGCUCGUGCUCUCCUGUUCCUCCUGAAACGGCGAGGGGUAGUGCCGGUCGUGGCUCAGCAGGAUAGCAUAAGCUUGCCCUUGUUCUUUUGUGUUUGAAUCAGACUUGCUGGUUCUCAGUUUUACAUGCACAUAUCAAUCUUUCUUCUGUAUGCAGGUUACACACCUGAUGAUGUUUACAGCGAGGCGCAGGAACAAGCAGAGGCCGAGGAAGUGCAGGCACGCGUUGCUGACCUUGGCAGGUGUAGGAACCGCGCGAGGAAGGUUCAGCGCGCUGCACCAGUCAGGCCACGCCCGGGGCGCCGCGCCAACACAUGUGUGCAUGGUCGGUGGGUUGGCCAAUAUCUGCAUUCUGCGACUUCAUCUUCACCAUGGACACAAGCAGGGACUGAUUGGUGGGUCUUGGUAGCGGUGCCGAGCAUCGGCGGAUCGAAGUGGUCGAGGUCGCGGUUAAUCGACCGGGACGAGACAUGCAUCUUGGAGCUAGCGCAGAGGGGGAAAGAAGCAGGUUGGUCUGGCCUGGCCUCGCAAAUGAAUUGGAACUUUCGGGCAAAGAAAACACACACAGGGCAGGAACAUGGCUACUCUCGCCCUUGCAAGUUUCUGAUCGAUCGAACUCUUCGGGGACAAGAAAAUGAGAAAAGGGCAGGCCGUCGAUGUACAGACCACAGGUGCUCGGACGCACGGCCGGAAUCAUGGUCGUCAUAACUCAUAACCCAUGAGGGGGUGACGAAGCAAGAAAGGAAGGUCGCCGAGAAUGGUGCUAAUAUCUUUGUUUUGGUGAUAUAAGGGAUUUAGAGCAUCCACAUGACCAUGGUCGACAAUGGCCUGAAGCCAAAUUUUGUUUUUGUUCAGACAAAUGGCCGUGCGCUGAACUGAUGAACUGCACAACUGAGUGCAGCACUUGUGCAAAGAUAUGACAUCUUGGUUGGCUGCUCGCGGCGGAGCAUGUGGCUGGUGCUUGCGGCAGUGGUAGAGCAGCGUCGGCGAGCAUGGCGCAAGCAGUGGCCAGAGCUGCAUGGAUAGCUGCAAGCAUGCCAUCCAACACAACACUUCAAGUAUGACAAUGUCCACUCUACACCAAGAUAUUGGUCAGUUGGGAGAUGAGGUGGUUUGCCAGAUAAGAAACAGAAUAAGGACAAUAAGGAGCGUUAAUUGGACCAUGUCAUGGUGAGCUUGGAGCACAGAAUUUUACAGGAGAUGGUCGUCGUAAAACUGGGUACUUAAGAUCAAGGGAAGUAUAACAUUUUUUUUGAAAGCUAAGUAAAAAAAAUUUACUUUGUGGGUCUAAUUUAAUUUUUCUAUGUUCAUAAUUUCUUGCGUGAAUAGAUAGAACAAGCCGAGCAGGGCAUCAACUACCUACUCAUGCUUUAGUUCACUUUCUUAGUAUUUGUGUUCUUAAUCUUGGUUUUCACUGGUUUGUGCUCUAUCCUCUCAAGCUAGAUUUGAAUUUUUUGUCAUAGAAACAAUUUUUUUAUUGCCUUUAAUAGUAUAUAGAGAUAAUCCAGUUAUGUAUGCAAAAUUAUGCAAGAUCCUCAGUGAGGAUAUUUUUUUCUGAACCCAUUAGCAGCCUCUGCAUCCUUCUGCCUUAGCGUGAUCAAUUUUUCCCACUGUGCCGUUUUUUUUGCCAACAUAAUGGAACGAAGGUGUCAAAUAUGCAUCCGUUCAAAAUUUGGUGUCAAUCGGUUUUUGGAGGAUUGCAUCAAUGUUCAUCAUAUUUCUAAUAGUAGGAUAUUAAAAAUCCCCUUUUCCCUAUGAUGUUUAUCUUUUCGGGUUUUAGCUAAUGACAAUGUUUCUUGGUGUGCCAGUGGCCAGGUGUGUAUAUUAUUGGACCUUUUACAUUCGAUAUUAACACUCCAAAACUUAACACAUUUUUAGCCUGCUAGGGAAACUUCCAUUUAAUGUUAUCAAUUUUCUUGCAGCAAACUUCAAAGUUCUUGAUACUUCUAUUUGCACUUAUUUUUCACAGGCUCGCAUAUAUUAGUGUUGUGCAGUUUAGAUCUCAAUAUGAUGUCGAUUUCUUUUACAGGUAAGGCAAGAGCUCCGCCUGCAGCUACUACGAUCGGCCGCUGCCCUACGCUGGCCGAGGCUGCACAUCAUCGCCUACUCCACCAUGCUACACCUUGGGAUUGCUGGCUGCCGAAGUCGACGCCAUCUGUCGCCCCUCAACACUUUUUUAGAAUCAUGGAAAAUCUCUUGGUCUCUUCACUGUGUUGUAAUUUGUUUCUAUGCUUUACGUUUUCUUGUGUCAUGCCUCCAGGACUUUGUUUUCUUACUAUAGUUGCAUUAGCAUGAGGCUCUUCUGUAAUAUGCAGGACUACUUCCAAACAACAUACAAAUUGUUCUAGAUGUCCCCACACAUUCUAUUUCCAAUGCAUAGAACCCAAACAUAUGCUUUUCGGAUGUCUCGGGUAUGGAAUUAAUCACUACUGCAAGCUUUGUCUACACUUCAUAAGUUACACGGAGCAAGUUGAUCUUUAGCAGAAUAACAUGUGAAAUUCAACUUUUAGAUUUGUUGAAUUAAUAUAAAUGUAGCAUCCUUACUUCUUGACC